GAUGGAGGAAGCUCAUCGGUGGAGCUACAAGCUGAGUGUGUCAUGUCUCUCUCCACCUUGUCCCUUGGGAAGGUCUGAGACUAGGGCCAACAGUGGCCCUAACAGGGCCCUGUGUGCCUCCAGAUGGCAAGUUCCCAGAGAGCGGGACUCCAAAUGAGGGCUGGUUGGUAAGUGAAUCUGUCCUAACAGCCCUCUGGCUUCCAGGUGAUGCGAUACAGUGGACAGAGGUUCCGGCCAGAGCGGUAAACUUGGCUCCAUGCUGGCUCUACUCCAUUUAUCCAUC
ensembl:ribozyme RNaseP_nuc Nuclear RNase P